rnacentral:rRNA from 1 species
GACGAACGCUGUCGGCGUGCUUAACACAUGUAACUCUAAUGGCAAGGCUCUGCCAUUGUGGGGUGCUCGAGUGCCGAACGGGCGCGUAACCCGUGAGUAACCCGCCCUUGCCCUUGGGAUAACUCCAGGAAACUCGGGCUAAUACCGGACAUGAGCCCCCGCUGCAUUGUGGCGGGUGGAAAUAUCCGGCGGCUGGGGAUGGUCUCGCCGGACCUCAGCUUCUUGGUGGGGUGGUGGCCUACCAAGGCUGUGUCGGGUAGCCCGCCUGAGAGGGUGACCGGCCACAUUGGGACUGAGAUACGGCCCAGACUCCUACGGGAGGCAGCAGUGGGAGAUAUUGCACAAUGGGCGGAAGCCUGAUGCUGGAACGCCGCGUGCGGGAUGACGGCCUUCGGGUUGUAAACCGCUUUCGCCUGUGACGAAGCGUGAGUGACGGUAAUGGGUAAAGAAGCACCGGCUAACUACGUG